GAGCAGAGUCAACGGAGCAGAAUCUGGGUUUUCAGAACCUACAACCAGGAGGACAUGAGAGAGAGCAGAGGGUCCAGAGGAGGUCCAGAGGAGGUUCUGAAGUCACUGAUUACAAACUCCAUCAGAACCUUCACUGCAGAGAUCAUCAGAACUUUGUUCAAGAGUCAGAACAUCAGAACCAGCCGUUCAGAAGGUCUUUGGACCAUCACCUGAGGAGCUGAGAGACUUAAAACUGCAGUUCCUCCAGCGUCCACUAGAGGCUGUGUCCUACAGUGAGUCUGUCCCCAUAGAGGCCCAGCAGAGAUAAACACGUUUACAGGUUUACAUCAGGUCAGGGAUUAUCGCAGCCCGAUCCGUCCCAGAAACAAGAUCUGUACUGCACAUGUGCGAAAUGUACGUCACUCCCUCUACUCGCCAUCUCUGCGACGGUUUCGACUCUUUUGUUCGGCAGCGUCAGCGUCAGCGAGCUCGCUUCAGUUUAUAACAGCCACACACUUUUCUCCUGAACGGAGCGUCGGAAAGUCGAGAGAAUGGCGCCCAG